rnacentral:rRNA from 1 species
UACGUAGGGUGCAAGCGUUGUCCGGAAUUAUUGGGCGUAAAGAGCUCGUAGGCGGCCAGUUACGUCCGCUGUGAAAUCCCGGGGCUCAACCCCGGGCGUGCAGUGGAUACGGGCUGGCUGGAGGCAGGCAGGGGAGAACGGAAUUCCUGGUGUAGCGGUGAAAUGCGCAGAUAUCAGGAGGAACCCCGGUGGCGAAGGCGGUUCUCUGGGCCUGUUCUGACGCUGAGGAGCGAAAGCGUGGGGAGCGAACAGG